rnacentral:rRNA from 1 species
CACCACACAUCAGUGUGGUGAGGAAAGGAAGCUUCGGCCUCCGCAUCUCGAGGGGCCCGCGGCCCAUUAGCUUGUUGGCGAGGUAACGGCUCACCAAGGCAACGAUGGGUAGCUGGUCUGAGAGGACGAUCAGCCACACUGGGACUGAGACACGGCCCAGACUCCUACGGGAGGCAGCAGUGGGGAAUCUUGCGCAAUGCGCGAAAGCGUGACGCAGCAACGCCGCGUGUGGGAAGACGGCCUUCGGGUUGUAAACCACUUUCAGGAGGGACGAAGGGUCGGCCGCGAAUAGCAAGCCGGCUUGACGGUACCUUCAGAAGAAGCUCCGGCUAACUACGUGCCAGCAGCCGCGGUAAUACGUAGGGAGCAAGCGUUGUCCGGAAUAAUUGGGCGUAAAGCGCGCGUAGGCGGCUCGAUAAGUCUGUUGUGAAAGUCAAAGGCUCAACCUUUGAAUGCCGAUGGAUACUGUCGAGCUAGAGUCCGGAAGAGGCGAGUGGAAUUCCUGGUGUAGCGGUGGAAUGCGCAGAUAUCAGGAGGAACACCAACGGCGAAGGCAGCUCGCUGGGACGGUACUGACGCUAAGGCGCGAAAGCGUGGGGAGCAAACAGGAUAGAUACCCUGGUAGUCCACGCCGUAAACGAUGGAUACUAGGUGUGGGAGGUGUCGGCUCCUCCCGUGCCGUCGCUAACGCACUAAGUAUCCCGCCUGGGGAGUACGGCCGCAAGGCUAAAACUCAAAGGAAUUGACGGAAUCGAAUU